AGCGCCCUUUGGGGAGUGCCAGUCUACAAAGGCUGGCAGCAAGGCAGGAGCUGGUGGGAGGGGGGUGGUCUCAGGAGACCACUGGCCUCUGGGUCAGGACUUCGGUCCGGCCAUACCUUCCUGGCCUCAGGAGCUGCCCUGCAGCCUGCCUCUCACAGGUCCGUGGCCAGGAUCCAUCAGGACUGUAGGCUGACAGUCCCAGCUUUCACACGUGGGCCUGGUUCCUGAGGCUGUGGGCCCAGAGUUGGGUCAUGAAGAGUCUUGGGAACCAAAGAAAGGUUCUACAGGUGUCUGGAGGAACGCAGGGAUGACAACAGUUGCCCUCUCACGAAAAGCCUUCCCUGCAAAACGCCUAGUCGUGAGCCAGGGCUGGAGCAACCACCGUCACAGACAGGAGCCGCCGUCCACCACAUCUGGUCUUUUGAGUUUCCUCUGGGCCAUAUGAGAAAGGUGGAGAUUGUUCAGAGACCCCGGUUUGGCGGAAAGCCUGGGUGCGCAGCCCGCUGAGAGGCUGGGAAGCUCAGGCCCCACGUACUGCUCUGCGGCAGGAACGGUAGGUCGUUAUUCCUUCGCAAACGAAGCUAUCAAACCGCAGUUUGAGAGGGGGAGCGUGCCCGGUUAUGUGUGCUUUCACUCGGCCUACCUAACUCGGGGGGUCCUGGCAGCCACGCGUCCUGUUACAGCCCUGCGUUCACGUGGUCCUGGCUCAAAGGGACUUCUGGCCACUCAGGCAAUUCUAAGACUGGCCUUCACCUCCGAUUUUGCUCAGCCGCCUCCUCUCUCUCAGCUGGAGUCAUCUGGGAACAGGUGCAGGAGCGCUCAUCUGGAUGAGCCGGAGCCCGCCAGGCCUGUGUCGCUGUGGUGCGGCCGGUAUGGCAGGUCCCAGGACGUCUGUCUUCAGUCUGCCUUCAGUCACCGGCUCCACCUGCCGCGUCUUUCCAGAUCAGCUUCUCCGAGAUGGGUCGCAUCUGCGAGUGAGACUCCGUGGGGUUGUGGCAGGCCAUGUUAGGCGCGCGCACGGAGCGCCGGCUGUGCGUACUGCGUUCCUGAUGUGGGCGAGGCCCUGGUGCAUCCUGACGGUUUCUGCAAACCAAGUGCUCCGGGCCUGGGGGUCGGGGACCGACCCGUGCCGGGCCCAAGCUGCUCGUCACCUGGGCGGUCCCCGCCUCAGACGUGGAGGGGUUGCGGGCUGGUUCAUCGUGGCGGCCGUCUCCUGGUCCUCCGGGACGGGCUCGCGGGUGACGGCGGGGCCUCCGGAAUGUCCCGGCCCGGGAGCCCACGGCCGCAGCGGCCGCUCCUCUGGUAGGUGUCCGGCGCCCCCGCGGUGUGCGUGUUCGGUGGGCCGAGGCGUCCCGGGGUCCCUCGCCUGCCCGUGUGGUUGGCUUCGUGCGAGGAGUCCCCAAGCCCCGUGCCGCCCCAGGACCCUUCCACCAUACACUUGCACGCCUCUCGUCUCUGACACACGCACACACGCACGAUGUCGUCUUCCUAAAGUGGACCGUCACACCCACUGCUGUCGCCGCCGAAUUCUGUUACCUCGCGCUUGGCCCACCUGUAACUCCUCAAAGUGAUCCUCGCGCCCUGUUUGGAUGUUUGCUAUCUACUUGUCCGUUGCCUUUGAGCCAGAAAAUAAACCCUAGGCAGGGGUUCCGUCUGCUUCUGUGCCCUCGGCACAUAGUGGAUAGUUAAGAAUAUUUUUGGGUUGGCUAAUAGUUCAGGGAUGUGUUGAAAACAUUUGUUUCUCCAUUUAUUUUGUUCUCUGCUUUUAAGUAGAAAUAACCUUUAAAUUCAUACGCUGUGAGGUGCAGCUGCUGCCUGAAAUACCCAUUUGUUUAUGAUCUAUUUUAGAGGAUACACAAAGCUGUCAAUUAUUACCCUUUUGCCAUCUUGCUUAUGGUAUGAUUUCCUGUUGAGGAAUCAGUUCUAAAUAAACGUGCAAUCACUUCUCCAAUUGCAUUUUCAUAGUUUUGGAAAAUUGAAAUAGUAAAGUGACAGAGGAAUAAUUAUGCAAAUAAAGGUGAAAAAUCCAAACUACACGAAAUCUUUGAAGUGGAGCAUCUGUAGGCAAUAACCUGACAUAUUAUUGGCAUAGCAAGUCUUUUUAAGUUGCGCUUUUUAUCCUUUAAUUUUCAUUUAUUUGAAAGAGAAACAAACAGGGAUCUUUCCUGGCCGGUUCACUGCCCAAAUGCCUACAACAGCCCAGGCUGAGCCAGCAGCCCAGAGUCUCCUACGUGGGUGGCAGGGACCCAAGUGGUUGAGCCAUCCGCUGUCUCUUAGUGUGUGUGUUAGCGUGAAGCGGGGCUGGGACUUGAACUCAGCUACUGUGCCAUGGGGUGCAAGUGUUCUUAGCAUCAUCUCAACUACUUUGACAACGCCUGCCCCAAGGUGCUUGUUUGGGUGCAGUCACUCCUGGGUGCUAGAAUUAACAAAGACUCACCAGCCAGGUGUGUGUUUAAGCUUCAGUCAAUCUGUUAGGCACUUUGGGAAUAACAGAGGUGCCAAAGGGUUUGCAAUUAAGUUGUGGAAAUGCAGCAUAUAUUAAAAUGCUAAAAAUAGGCAAAUUUCAGAUAAUAGUAAAUGGGGGACAAAGACUCACAGUCAUGGUAGGCUGAGAUUGUGAAAUGGAAGUGGGAUAAAAGGUAGAACUGAAGGCCAUCUGUGAUUUCAGUAAGUACAUGAAGGUAGAGCAUUUCAGAUGUGGGUACGAUUGCACACAUAGCAGCACACAUACAGGCCCCGUAAUGAAAGGGAGGGCUUCUGUACAUAGAAGGAAAGAAGCUCUGACCACGUGGCUGUGGUGGUCAGCGUGUAGUUUAGGUACCAGAAAACGUUUUUCUGAAAUUGUCCACCAUAAGAGUGAAAAUAUAAGUCAUAUUUAAAUUGUGGUUGGCAAGAAACACAUUAGUUUUUAUUAUAAAAUUGAGCCUAUUUGGAUAGUUUCUUUAGCAUAUGAAAACAUAUUUGUCACCUCUGACAGAGAAUCUGAAUUAAUAAAAAUACAUAACACUUUAGGGAAGUGUUUGUGCUUUCCUUAUCAUGAAUUUUGUAAGUCACAGGCAAAGCAAGUUAAAUAAAACAUGUAGAUGAACUGUGUGAACCACUUUCUUCUAAUGAAAAAAACUGGAAGAAAACAUUUAAGAAUCUUAAUAGGUACAUAGGAAUAUCUUCAAAGCUUUUGCUUAAAUCUAGUUUGUGUUUGGCAAGGAAAACAAAAAUAUAACCUGAGGUAUAAAGUAUUCUUGGCAUAAUAUGUUACUUGCAAAUCUGAGGUGCAGCUACUAUGGUUCUCUGAUAUGAAACCCAAAAGCACUCCAGAGGGAGAAUUCUGUUGUCCUUAUAACCAGCAUAGAACAGAAAUAGCUAAUAGCUAAUAUCUAAUACUGAAACUGGACGCAGUUACAAGAUUUGGCACCAUUCCUUAAGGUGUAGGGUUUUACGUGACCUGACUUGCUGCAUUCAUAUAACUAGUUCAUGCAGAUGGGAGUGUAACUCUGCUACAAACACAUGUAACUUCUAUUUUAUGCAUGAGAAUAUUUUUUUUCUAACUCAUAAUUACAGUAAACAGACACCUAUUGUCUUUUACAAACACAAAAUUCUGGUGUGUAUAACCAGCUUCAGGGUAGAACAACAGGUGACUUUUGUAAAAAUGUGCUUUAUUAAGGUAUGUGGCUGUACCUGGAUAUUAAUUUAAGCAGCAGAACACAUACCAUGCAUCACACUGUUUGCUGACAUAUUUUAAAAUAAAUUUUAAAUUUUAAAAUAAAAGGUAUCAGUAUAAAAGAUUAUGUGUGUUUUCUAGAAGCCAGCACUAUGUCUGUACUUAAAGUUUCAUGUUGGGUGGUGAUAAUUAUUCCAGUAAAAAAUACUGUCAGUUUCAGAUGGAAACACUAAGGAGAGUAGGUCCCGUCCCCUCUUUGGAAAAUGUCCGUAGCUUAGGAUAAAGGCUGUGCUCUCUGACAGAUGAGCACGUAUGUUACGUGGGACCAGAGCUUUGGGAGACUGAAGUUGAGAUGCUGACUUUCCACAUUGACUUGAGGGACAGUUAGCUUCAUGGAGAAGUGGCAUUUAGUUUUACUCAGAAUAACAAUCAAGGUGAAGAUUGGAGUGAGAAAAUUUUGUCUUUGCACUGAGUUGUGUCAAAAGAAAGAAAUGGGAAAACAUAUUUCUCACAGUCAAAAGUAGAAAUAAAAAUGUAUAUUUAUAAUCCAUUAUGGAAGCUUUAAGGGCUAGAUUAAAGCACAAAUCAUAGUAAAGCUAGCAUGCAAGUGGAGACCAUUGAUACUGUUUCGAUCAAAAGUGAUCUAGAGUGUUCUUGGAAGUUUAAUCUGUAAACAAAGUGACAUUCAGAGUGGAGGCAAAUAACAGUGUGUGGGAAUAACUCGUUUAUUCACUUACCCAUGCAGUGUGCUGUGUUUGCAGUACAAUUCUUGGAGGAGAGGAAGACUUAAAUGAUCCUUGUACAGCUGAUUGUGGAGAAAGAAGUCCAAAGAUAGCCACAAAGAUGAAGAAGCAGGGAAAAAUGAGAUUUCACUUGUAGAUUUUCAGUUUCAUCUCUGGAGAUGAAGUGGUAGAGUUAAACAGUGAGAGAGAGAGUGUGGGGAGCAACCGAGACUAGACUAAAUUACUGGAACUAAGACUAAUUCUAUGCAUCUGAUCUCCCACCAUAUGGUGCUGAGAAGGAGUAAACAACUUCCACACAGCUGCCUCGCCAGUUCGACUGAUAAACUGCAGGAGCUGAUCCUGCUCCUGAUUGGAGGAGAGCAGCGUGCUCGGCGUGUGGGCAGCAGAGCAGGAAUUGGUGGAAGAGGACUAUAAAGGAGGAGAGAGACAACAUGCACCGGGAAUAUCUGAAGGAACACCUGAGCAGCCCCUGAGAGAGCUGGCCAGCGGUGUGCCGCUCCUCCACGGAAGCGGGGAAAGCUGCGGGGGUGCUGCCCCUCCGCGGAGGUGGGGGGGCUGGCAGCUAACCCGGCAUGGCGUCAUUCCUCCGCAAGUGAGGGAACAGCAGCAAACCCAGAAAGGGCCAGACAAAAGGAACAGUGCAGGGUCCGGUGUCGUUCCUCCGCGAAUGGGGGAGCGACAAGAGAGAGACAGAGAGAAAGGUCUUCCUUUUUUUCUGUUGGUUCACCCCCCAAGUGGCUGCAUUGCGGCCAGUGCACUGCGCCGAUCCGAAGCCAGGAGCCAGGUGUUUCCUCCUGGUCUCCCAUGCAGGUGCAAGGCCCAAGGACCUGGGCCAUCCUCCACUGUACUCCCGGGCCACAGCAGAGAGCUGGACUGGAAGAGGAGCAACUGGGACAGAAUCCGGCACCCCAACUGGGACUAGAACCCGGAGUGCCGGUGCUGCAGGCAGAGAGGAUUAGCCUAGUGAGUUGCGAAUAUCCAAGUACCAUAGGAGUGGGUGCAUAUACUUUUGUUAUAAUCACGUCUUCUUGUUGAACUGAUCCCUUAAUCAUUAUGUGAUGCACUUCUUCAUUUUUUUAACAGUUUUUAUAUUAAAUUCUGUUUUGUCUGAUAUUAGGAUGGUUAUACCUGUUCUUUUGGCUUUCCAUUAGCAUGGAAUACCUUUUUCCAUCCUAUCAAUUUCAGUCUAUGUGUAUCUUUUUGGUGAGGUAUGUUUCUUGUAGGCAGCAGAUAGAUGGGUCUUGCUUUUUUUUUUUUUUUUUUUUUUGACAGGCAGAGUUAGACAGUGAGAGAGAGACUGAGAGACUUAGAGAAAGGUCUUCCUUCCGUUGGUUCACUCCCCAAAUGGCCGCUACUGCCAGUGCGCUGUGCCGAUCUGAAGCCAGGAGCCAGGUGCCUCCUCCUGGUCUCCCAUGCAGGUGCAUGGCCCCAGCACUUAGGCCAUCCUCCACUGCACUCCCGGGCCACAGCAGAGAGCUGGACUGGAAGAGGAGAAACCAGGACAGAACCAGUGCCCCAAAUGGGACUAGAACCUGGGGUGCCGGUGCCGUAGUUGGAGGAUUAGCCUAGUGAGCCACAGCACUGGCCGGGUCUUGCUUUUUAAUAUAUUCAGCUUGUCUUGCUGUUUUAAUUGGAGCAUUCAGGCCAUUUAUAUUUGUUUACUGUUGGUAAAUAACAACAUGGCCCUGCCAUGUUUCUGUAAAUAUUCCUAUUGUUUGCUUUGGAAUACUUUUGUACCUUAUCGGGAAAUUUUCUGCCUUCACAUUCUUUUUUUUUUAUUAUUGUUAUUUAUUUAUUUUUGACAGGCAGAGUGGACAGUGAGAGAGAGAGACAGAGAGAAAGGUCUUCCUUUUUCCGUUGGUUCACCCCCCAAUGGCUGCUGCGGCCGGCGAGCUGCAGCCAGCGCUCUGCGGCCAGCACACCAUGCUGAUCCGUAGCCAUGAGCCAGGUGUUUCUCCUGGUCUCCCCUGUGGGUGCAGGGCCCAAGGACUUGGCCAUCCUCCACUGCACUUCCAGGCCAUAGCAGAGAGCUGGAAUAGAAGAGGAGCAACCGGGACAGAAUCUAGCGCCCCGACCGGGACUAGAACUCAGGGUGCCGGUGCCGCAGGUGGAGAAUUAGCCUAUUGAGCUGCGGUGCUGGCCUUCAUGUUCUUUUAUAAUGAUGACUGUCUUUCUCUAUUUCUGUGUGUAGCACAGCCUUAAGCAUAAUUUGAAAGACUGGAUGAAUGAUGACAAAUUCUUUAAAUUUCUGUUUGUUAUGGAAGGUUCUUAUUUCACAGUCAUUCAUAAAUGAGAGUUUUGCAGGAUAUAUUUUCUGGGUUGACAGUUUUUUCCUGUAAGACUAUGACUCUGCCCCUCCUAUCUCUCCUAUCUUGUAGGGUUUCUGAUGAUAACUCAGCUUUGAAGCCAUUUGGAGAUCCUCUGAAAGAAAUCUGGCAUUUGAUACACAUUUUAUAAGCUUUUCUUUAUGUUUUGCUGUUGAAGUUUGACUACAAUGUGUCAUAGUGGAGACUUUUUCUGGUCAUGUCCAUUAGGAGCUCUGUGUACUUCCUGUACUUGGUUGUCCCUUUCUUUCUCCACAUUAGGAAGGUUUUCUGUUACUAUUUAAUUGAGGAAGUCCUCUAAUGCAUUCUGUCUUUCCAUAACUUCAGGAACUCCUAUGACACACAUGUUGUGUCAUUUGAUAGUAUCCCAUAAAGUUUGAACCUUGUUUUUAAUUUUUCUAAUGUCUUUUUGUUAUUUUCUGAGUUAUUCCCAAAGAUUUGUCUUGUAAUUUAGAUAAUCUUUCAUCUUCCUCACCUAGUUUAUUGUUAAGGCUUUCCACUGAAUUUUUAUUUGACAAAUUGAAUUCAUUCUUCAUUUCUAUAAUUUCAGUUUGAUUUCUUUUCAAAAUCUCCAUCUAACAGGAAAAUUAUUCAUCCAUGUCAUGUAUGGACUUCUGUAACUCAUGAAUUUGCUUCUCAUUGCUUCUGAGUAAUCUGUGAUCGUUCCUUUGAGUUCUAUUUCAAGCAUUUCUGCAAUAUGUCUUCACAUUCUGUUAUUGAAGUAUUACAUUCCUUUGGGGGAGUCAUGUUUUCUUCCUUAUUCUUAUUUCAUUGUUUUCUGUAAUUAUUUUUAGGCAGUUAUGGAAAUAGUUGUUGGAUUUCUUCUCUGUUGGAUUGUGUCAUUGAACUGUGCCUCUGUGGCUUACUGGAGUGUCUACUCUCUCAUAAAUACUUAGAGACGUGUGCUGUGUGUGGCCAUCGAGCUCUCGUCAGUAUUCAGGUUUAGCGUGCAAAGCCAGUGACACUCAAGUUGGUCACGGUAGAGCUCCUGUAUUGUCAGCAGGGGAGAAAGUAGUACGAUCUUGCCUUUUGGAGUAAUCACAACCUCAUUUUUUCUUUCAAGGGGAUCAGUGCCCAGGGUUAGCACAGAUUGGAUACAGCCUCUAUCCACGCUGGCACAUGAACCACACGAAAGAUCUUUGUGGUCCUUUAUGUGAGCAAGUUGUCUGCAAUGAUCUACCCCAGGCCGUCAAGGAGCACUGAGCCACUGACAGCAGAUACAGAGAUGGCCCAGAGAUCCAGCUACACCCCGAACCCUAUCACUCAGUCAUGGAUUUCUCGCAGUCAGAGCACACAAGGUUCCCACACUCAUGAGGUUCAGAAGAUUCCACUCGACCUCAUGAGCCUGCCCCAUCCAAGGAGACAGCAGAGAUACUCCCCGAGUCAGCAGCCUGUGGGUGCUCUGCUUUGGCAUUUUGAGCUCAAGAUUGCUGAAGAAUACUAAAAAUAAAUAUACUAUAUGAUUGAGUUAACCCAUUUUUAUUAUUAUGUCUUCAGUUGUUUAUUAUUUGUGCCUCCUUAUGCAGCAUAAAAUGAGUACUUUGUUAUAUAUUUUAAGAGUUUUUCCUAAUUUGUGACCUCUUAACAGUUAGUAAAUAAACAGAAAUUAUUAUUCUUAAUGUAGAAUCAGACUACCACUGAUUAAAAACUCUGCACCUGUCCAGGGUGAAGCUAAUUUCUAAAAGCUUUAUGUUUUGGGGCCAGUGCUGUGGCGCAACAGGUUAAAGCCCUAGCCUGAAGCGCCAGCAUCUCAUAUGGGCACCAGUUCUAGUCCCGGCUGCUCCUCUUCUGAUCUAGCUCUCUGCUAUGGCCUAGGAAAGCAGUAGAAGAUGGUCCAAGUCCUGUGCCCCUGCACCGACGUGGGACACCCGGAGGAAGCUUCUGGCUCCUGCCUUCAGAUUAGCGCAGCUCAAGCUAUCGUGACCAUUUGGGGAGUGAACCAGCAGAUGGAAGACCUCUCUCUCUGUCUCUACCUCCCUCUGUAACUCUGUCUUUCAAAUAAAUAAAAUAAAUCUCAAAAAAAAGCUUUAUGUUUUAUCUUCUACAUUUAGAGAUCUAAUCUACCCAAGAUUGAUUUUAAUAUAUUAUAUGAAGAAAUGGAAAUUUUUUUUAUUUCCUCAUGAAGUCCACUUAACACAUUAUUUAUAUAAAAACAUCCUUUAUCUGAUAUUUGUGUUGUCUUUGCUUUUAGACUAUAGCAAAACUGAGGUGCACUGGAUAGGUUUCUUCCGCCUAGAUGUGCCGUGAAAUCCAGUUUUUGUUCUCAGGGCUCGUGAAAUGAUUUGAAGCUCUCAGCUUCAAUACUUUUAUGUUGUAUAACUGUAAUUUGGGGAUUCUCACCUGCUCCAGGGUAAAAUUGAUGUCAGUCUGUACUGACCUCUCUGGACCUCUGUUCUUUGAAUCUCUCACAAUUUCUUUGUAAUUUGCCAGUGGUGUGAUUGCUUCAGACUGAUCAGUUUUGCAUAAUUUGACUGACUAGUUGUUCUAAGCAAUAGUUUGGGUUAUAAAGAACCUGAUCUUCCAUUGUUAGAAGAAAAUCAGUAUGAGCAAUUAUAGUUUUGAAAACUGUAUCCCAUAGAAUUCACAACUUGAAUCCUCGACUUUCCCCAGCAUUUCUCUGAUUUUCCCUAAAUUAUGAGUCUUAAGAGAGGUUAAAAACAUUUAAUAGAAUUUAAUGUAUUACAUAAGAUGAGUUCAUAUGAUUACAUUUAUUACUAAUGCUGUAGUGUUA